CAAGAUUGGAUUACGGUAAUAGGCUCUACAUGGGGCCGCAUCUUAAAACUACUCAAACUUCAUCUGGUGCAGAACCCAGCUGCCCACUUGGAGUAAAGGGCCUGCAGCAGAGGGGUGAAUAGAGGAUUCCUAUCUAUCCAACAGAACCACUGGGAUACUCAGGAUCUUCUUUAAUAUCAACAACAUCAGGUACAACAAAGGUAAUGUCAACAACACAGUUACCCUGUAAAAAAGCAAUUGAAUAGUCCAUGAGCCAAGUUUCCUCAACCCCAGUUUGCAGAGAUGAGAUCACGCUUGAAAAAGGCCCCCAGCCCCGGUGAGUGAAGGCGCUAAUGAAAAUUAGCAUUCCAAAAGAAUCUUCCGCAGCUGUCUUCAUAAAAAGAAACUGAUUAGUGGUUUGGACGGUGCUAACUCUGUAAAUUAUCAAACAAAUACAGCAGAAGCAUCCAUUUAUGUAUAUUAAAAUUACAAUUUGAACAUCACACU